rnacentral:rRNA from 1 species
UACAGAGGGUGCGAGCGUUGUCCGGAAUCACUGGGCGUAAAGGGCGCGUAGGCGGUCUGCUAAGCGUGCGGUGAAAGCCCGGGGCUCAACCCCGGGUCGGCCGUGCGAACUGGUGGACUGGAGCUUGUCAGAGGCAGGCGGAAUUCCGGGUGUAGCGGUGGAAUGCGUAGAGAUCCGGAAGAACACCGGUGGCGAAGGCGGCCUGCUGGGACAGUGCUGACGCUGAAGCGCGACAGCGUGGGGGAGCAAACAGGG